AGAUUCUUAAAGGAAUUGGCGGAGGCGCACAAGCGGUGGAUGAUGUGGUUUAAUUCGAUGCAACGCGAAAAACCUUACCCACCUUUGACAUGUAUGGAAUCCUGAAGAGAUUUAGGAGUGCUCGAAAGAGAGCCAUAACACAGGUGCUGCAUGGCUGUCGUCAGCUCGUGUCGUGAGAUGUUGGGUUAAGUCCCGCAACGAGCGCAACCCUUGCCAUUAGUUGCUACGAAAGGGCACUCUAAUGGGACUGCCGGUGACAAACCGGAGGAAGGUGGGGAUGACGUCAAGUCCUCAUGGCCCUUAUAGGUGGGGCUACACACGUCAUACAAUGGCUGGUACAGAGGGUUGCCAACCCGCGAGGGGGAGCCAAUCCCACAAAGCCAGUCGUAGUCCGGAUCGCAGUCUGCAACUCGACUGCGUGAAGUCGGAAUCGCUAGUAAUCGCGGAUCAGAAUGUCGCG
rnacentral:rRNA from 1 species